rnacentral:rRNA from 1 species
AGAGCGAACGCUGGCGGCGUGCUUAACACAUGCAAGUCGAGUGCGCAGUUUUCUGUAGCAAUACAGGAAACCGGCGCACGGCGCACGGGUGCGUAACACGUGGAUAACCUGCCCUCCAAAAGGGGGAUAACCCCGCGAAAGCGGGGCUAAUACCGCAUGACAUUCCGAGAACCUCGGUUUUUGGAAUCAAAGCCCGCAAGGGCGUUGGGGGAGGGGUCCGCGGCCGAUUAGCUUGUUGGCGAGGUAAUGGCUCACCAAGGCAAUGAUCGGUAGCCGGUCUGAGAGGAUGGCCGGCCACACUGGAACUGAAACACGGUCCAGACUCCUACGGGAGGCAGCAGUGGGGAAUUUUGCGCAAUGGGGGAAACCCUGACGCAGCAACGCCGCGUGGAGGAUGAAGCCCCUUGGGGUGUAAACUCCUUCGAUCGGGAAGAUAAUGACGGUACCGAUAUAAGAAGCCCCGGCUAACUUCGUGCCAGCAGCCGC